CCUCUGAUAGCUCAGUUGGUAGAGCGUGGGACUGUAAUGGAAACAUGGGUCAUCCCAAGGCCGCUAGUUCGAUCCUGGCUCAGAGGA